rnacentral:rRNA from 1 species
UACGUAGGGUGCGAGCGUUGUCCGGAAUUAUUGGGCGUAAAGAGCUUGUAGGCGGUUUGUCGCGUCCGCUGUGAAAACUCGGGGCUUAACCCCGAGCCUGCAGUGGAUACGGGCAGACUAGAGGUAGGUAGGGGAGAAUGGAAUUCCCGGUGUAGCGGUGAAAUGCGCAGAUAUCGGGAGGAACACCGGUGGCGAAGGCGGUUCUCUGGGCCUUACCUGACGCUGAGGAGCGAAAGCGUGGGGAGCGAACAGG